CGCCAGUUUCUUCGGGGCGGAGCUCGACCGCCAACACAAGAAGUAGUCGCCUUCGUCGACGCCAACCGCGACGACGUCGUGGGCGGCAAGAAGCUCGGAGUCGAGUCCAUCUGCAGCACCCUGUCCAAGGCAGGGCUGCAGAUGGCUCCG
rfam:Mumia flava strain MTSC 201 Contig41, whole genome shotgun sequence.